rnacentral:lncRNA from 1 species
UAAGAAGCCACCAUGACUCUGAGGCCUCCCCCGCCAUGUGGAACUUGUUUUCUGGGGGGCAAUUCCUACAUUCCAGGCCCGCUUCAAGAAUUGAUGUGCAACCCAGCGUAGGGAAGAACUGCUUCUGGACUGCACCUGAGGCAGCACCACCGGCAACGGAGCCCCGCCACCUGCUGUACCCGUCCACCUUCUCUGGUUGACCUCCCUGGGGCCAGACAGCCCACUCAGAGUCCGUGCUCCCUCCUAUGGAGAUGAAGGAGCUGUGUCCACAGGCGUGCACACAGGGAGAACGCCGUGGGAACCUGCAGGCAGAGACUGGGGGUGCAUCUACCAGCCAAGGAACACCCAGGACUGCCAGCAGUACCAGGAAGUUGCAGAGCAACACGGGCAUCCUCCUUACCGCUCUCAGAAGAUUCCAGCCCUGCAGAUACCUGAACCUUCAGUUUCCAACCUCCAGACCUGGAAGACAGUAAAGCUCUGUUGUUGUAGCCCCUGGUGUGUGGUCCUUUGUGACAGCAGCCCUAGGACCCUAACUCACUCCUCCCACACAGCCUUUAUCAUGAAGGUCCAGUUCCUGAGUUCGGCACACUGUGCCCCCACCAGGUCAGACAUUUGAGUAACUCUCCAACCCCGACACGCCAGUUGGACCAAACUCUGUGCGCUUGUUGAACUGGGCCCUUCCUUUGAACACACUUCUCAGUUUUGCUUGGCUAGUUCCUACUUGUCUACAAGAGCGAGCUCAUACAUGGCGUCCUCUGGACAGCCUUCCCUGACCUUCCGGCCUGGCCGAAGGGCUGUGCUGUGCCCGCAAAGCCUGCUGAGCGUGCGUCUACCAUUGAACUUAUUCCACCUUCUUAUGAUAAUUGACUGACUUAUCUGUCAACCCCUUGAGACUAAGAGCUCCUUGAGGGCAGAUAUAUUGAGUCUUCAGUGCCCACUAUGAAUCACCAGUUAACAAAAUCCACUCCCUUAAUGUGCACCUGUAGAUAUAAAGAAUGGAUUUAAAACUUAAACACAGGACAAGGAACCAGUUGCCUAUUCCAGACUUGAGCAUCAUAUGAACGCAUGAGGUAUAGAUUCUCCUCCAAGCUGGAGUGAGGUGAAUGAAAAUCAAGGUGAACCACCACAUCUUCAGCUCAUUAUUAUCUCUCCUACGAAAUGAGAAGGAUCCAUAUUUAUUCCACUUUCUCCCCACCCCCAGCAGAUAAAGGAUGCCUCCUGAUUUUCAUGCUGCAACUCAUAAAAUGUGACAGGUCUGUAAGGAACUUGUCUUUGCGGAUGGAAGCAGAGCGCCCUGAGUGGGGAUGAGAUGCUUCCUGAUGCUGCAGUACCGGUUGGGCACCACAAGAGGGAGCCAGGAAUGGCUGGACGGGUUGAUACACCCAACAAACCAAGUAAUUUUGGCAUCUAGGAGUUGAGAACAUUCCUAAAACAGAAAAUCUCAGGAUACAAGAGCUGUUUUCCCAGUGAUAUAAGAUCCCUCCCCUGCCUCACCCUUUCUCCCUCCACCCCCAGUUCCCACAUUGAAUAUUUUCAAUCUUCAAUAGAUUAAAUAUUGAAGACUGAAGAUAGAAUAUUUUCCAUCUUCAGGCCAGUAGUCAGAUAAGCAUCUACAAAAGACGGAGCCACGCGGGGUUUACAAAAGUCACCUGUAUUCCAGCCAAAAUAGCUUUAAAAAGGAAUCCCUGC